rnacentral:rRNA from 1 species
CCAAAAGCUGGCGACCGGCGCACGGGUGAGUAACACGUAUCCAACCUGCCUCAUACUCGGGGAUAGCCUUUCGAAAGAAAGAUUAAUAUCCGAUAGCAUAUAUUUCCCGCAUGGGUUUUAUAUUAAAGAAAUUCGGUAUGAGAUGGGGAUGCGUUCCAUUAGUUUGUUGGAGGGGUAACGGCCCACCAAGACUACGAUGGAUAGGGGUUCUGAGAGGAAGGUCCCCCACAUUGGAACUGAGACACGGCCCAA